GGAAUCUCCGGCAAUGGACGAAAGUCUGACCGAGCAACGCCGCGUGAGUGAAGAAGGUUUUCGGAUCGUAAAACUCUGUUGGUAGAGAAGAACGUUGGUGAGAGUGGAAAGCUCAUCAAGUGACGGUAACUACCCAGAAAGGGACGGCUAACUACGUGCCAG
rnacentral:rRNA from 1 species